UGUGUGCAGCAGGAACAAAGUGCAAGGGAGCUCAGCGUGCUUGAAGAGACAGGAUGUAAAGCUCUCCUUCUGAAUGGGUAUCAGGUCCUAUCGAAGUCUAUUGUCUCCUGGAGCCCAGACCUCACAAUGUCCCAUUGUGACAAAUGCAAAGACAAGGUGGUUAAAUCCCAGUUUUCCAGAUCUCUGCCUUCAUUUUCAGUCUCCAGGACUCUACCCCUGAGGAUGGUUCUGCUCUCACUGCCUGGGCUGCCUCCCUGCUGGCUGUGUCCGUUCUUUGGAAGUGACUGUGCAAUACUUCAUCCUGUCCUGCCACCAUCAGUCCUCAUCCUUUACCUCUGCAAGUUACACCGAAGUUCUUCAGGUGGUAGCUGCUGCACUCAGAAGACUGCUUUUGUGGACCACCAGGAAUUUCCUGUGAUAGAAUAUCAGAAAGCUACUGGUGACUCGGAGGAGGUGACUUCACAGGGCAAAAGUUCCCUUUCUACAAUAAACAUUCUCAGUGUGGCCGUGUAGGAGACUUCCUACACAGACCCCACACCUAUGAGCCACUUGUCAUCUUGACACCAAAUAGCCAGAGAAAGAAACAGAACCAUUUGUAAGAGAUUAUCUUUUUU
rnacentral:lncRNA from 1 species